rnacentral:ncRNA from 2 species
UAUAUAACUUGACUCCGAGCCUAAUUUCCUAAGUUAAGAUUAAUAUGGAAAUAGUGCCUGCAACUUGAUUGCACAAGGUGUAUUUAGAAAUGAAUACGCCUCCCCUUUGGAAAGGUGUCGUAACUUAAACUUU